rnacentral:rRNA from 1 species
UACGUAGGAGGCGAGCGUUGUCCGGAGUUACUGGGCGUAAAGGGUGCGCAGGCGGCGGUGCGCGUGGCGAGAUGAAAUCUCCUGGCUUACCUGGGAGGGUGGUCGCCAGACGGCAUCGCUUGAGGGUCGGAGAGGGGCGUGGAAUCCGGGUGGAGCGGUGAAAUGCGUAGAGAUCCGGAGGAACACCGACGGCGUAGGCAGCGCCCUGGACGACACCUGACGCUG